AUGGCCUCCGACUCUGAUCGCCUUCAUGCCCUCAAGGCCUUCGACGACACCAAGGCCGGUGUCAAGGGCCUCGUCGACGCGGGCAUCACCACCAUCCCCUCCAUCUUCCACCACCCCCUCCCCCUCCUCCACCGUGGGCACCUGGAGGAGGACGCUGCAUGCCUGGAGGGGUUUGCUGGCCACUACUACCCAUCCUACCCAGAGCCGCACCUGACGUUGGGCACCACCGCCCACUCCGACCCCUGCUUCCUCAUCGUGGUCCUCCAGAACGCUGUGGGCGGUCUCCAAGUGCUCGUCGACGGGCUACAGGAAGACGACAAGAAGUCGGUUUCCGUGUGGGUGGACGUGCCGGCGGUGCCGGGCGCGCUGGUGGUGAACAUUGGCGACUUCCGGCAGCUCGUCUCCAACGGCAAGUUCAGGAGCGUGGAGCACCGCGUGGUGGCCAAGAGUGCUGGGCCUCGCGUCUCCGUGGCCUGCUGCUUCCGGCGGCAGGGUGCGGCCACGUCCACGAGAGUGCUACGGCCAAUUGUCGCCGACGGCGAGGCGCAGUACAGGAGCACCACCAUGGCAGAACUGGUCCGGCGGUACAGGGCCAAGCGCCUCGACGGCAGCUCUUUGCUCCAGAACCUAAGGCUCUUAAUCCAUCCGAUCAAAACUACAAGCUAG
rnacentral:rRNA from 1 species